GAUGAAGAACGUAGCGAAAUGCGAUACUUGGUGUGAAUUGCAGAAUCCCGUGAACCAUCGAGUCUUUGAACGCAAGUUGCGCCCGAAGCCAUUAGGCCGAGGGCACGCCUGCCUGGGCGUCACACGUCGUUGCCCCCCCAUCUACUCCUUCGGGAUUGCGGGGGGCGGAUGAUGGCCUCCCGUGCGCCUCGCCGCGCGGUUGGCAUAAAUGCCAAGUCCUCGGCGACGCACGCCACGACAAUCGGUGGUUGCGAAACCUCGGUUGCCCGUCGUGUGCGGUCGCCGCGCAUCGAGGGCUCGAAAAAAUUGCCGGGUUCCGGCUCGGCUUUCAACGCGACCCCAGGUCAGGCGGGGUUACCCGCUGAAUUUAAGCAUAUCAAUAAGCGGAGGA
rnacentral:misc_RNA from 1 species